UACAGAGGUCCCGAGCGUUGUUCGGAUUCAUUGGGCGUAAAGGGUGUGUAGGAGGUCGGGUUAGUCGGGUGUGAAAUCCCACUGCUUAACAGUGGAACUGCAUUCGAUACUGCUCGGCUAGAGGACUGGAGGGGGGAUCGGAAUUCUUGGUGUAGCAGUGAAAUGCGUAGAUAUCAAGAGGAACACCGGUGGCGAAGGCGGAUCCCUGGAAAGUAUCUGACUCUGAAACACGAAAGCUAGGGGAGCAAACGGG
rnacentral:rRNA from 1 species